rnacentral:rRNA from 1 species
GUGCCAGCAGCCGCGGUAAUUCCAGCUCCAAUAGCGUAUAUUAAAGUUGUUGCAGUUAAAAAGCUCGUAGUUGGAUCUCGGGUCCAGGCUUGUGGUGCAGCUUAGGCUGCUUACUGCUCGUCCUGACCUACCUACCGGUUUUCCCUUGGUGCUCUUAAGUGAGUGUCUUGGGUGGCCGGAACGUUUACUUUGAAAAAAUUAGAGUGCUCAAAGCAGGCUUUCGCCUGAAUAUUAGUGCAUGGAAUAAUUGAAUAGGACCUCGGUUCUAUUUUGUUGGUUUUCGGAACUCGAGGUAAUGAUUAAGAGGGACAGACGGGGGCAUUCGUAUUACGGUGUUAGAGGUGAAAUUCUUGGAUCGCCGUAAGACGAACUACUGCGAAAGCAUUUGCCAAGA